CGCAAGUGUAUUCCUAUACUGUUGCGUUUAAAUAGCUCGUAGUUGGAUCUGCGUGUUUAGCGCGCGGUGCCGCCUACGGCGGUGACUGUGACGCGACACAGUUGUGCUGGUCGGCGCGAUGCCGCGAGGUGUCGUUGCUGCCAGCAGGUUUACUUUGAACAAAUCAGAGUGCUCAAAACGGGCGUUUCGCUCGGAUGUUCUUGCAUGGAAUAAUGGAAUAGGACCUGACGUUCUAUUUUGUUGGUUUUCGGGACGCAGGUAAUGAUUAAGAGGGACAGACGGGGGCAUUUGUACUGCGACGUGAGAGGUGAAAUUCUUGGAUCGUCGCAAGACAGACUACUGCGAAAGCAUUUGCCAAGAAUGUUUUCAUUAA
rnacentral:rRNA from 1 species